AAUUCAAUAAAUUCAAGGAUUCCUGGCUUUCACCCAGGCGGCCCGGGUUCGAUUCCCGG
rnacentral:tRNA from 1 species